rnacentral:rRNA from 1 species
UAGGGAAUCUUCGGCAAUGGACGAAAGUCUGACCGAGCAACGCCGCGUGAGUGAAGAAGGUUUUCGGAUCGUAAAACUCUGUUGUUAGAGAAGAACAAGGAUGAGAGUAGAAUGUUCAUCCCUUGACGGUAUCUAACCAGAAAGCCACGGCUAACUACGUGCCAGCAGCCGCGGUAAUACGUAGGUGGCAAGCGUUGUCCGGAUUUAUUGGGCGUAAAGCGAGCGCAGGCGGUUUCUUAAGUCUGAUGUGAAAGCCCCCGGCUCAACCGGGGAGGGUCAUUGGAAACUGGGAAACUUGAGUGCAGAAGAGGAGAGUGGAAUUCCAGGUGUAGCGGUGAAAUGCGUGGAUAUAUGGAGGAACACCAGUGGCGAAGGCGGCUAUCUGGUCUGUAACUGACGUUGAGGGUCGAAAGCGUGGGGGGCAAACAGG